rnacentral:rRNA from 1 species
CUACGGGCCGCAGCAGUGGGGAAUAUUGCACAAUGGGCGGAAGCCUGAUGCAGCCAUACCGCGUGUGUGAAGAAGGCCUUAGGGUUGUAAAGCACUUUCAGUCGUGAGGAAAGGGGUGUAGUUAAUACCUGCAUCCUGUGACGUUAGCGACAGAAGAAGCACCGGCUAAUUCCGUGCCAGCAGCCGCGGUAAUACGGAAGGUGCGAGCGUUAAUCGGAAUUACUGGGCGUAAAGCGCGCGUAGGUGGUUCAGUCAGUCAGAUGUGAAAGCCCCGGGCUCAACCUGGGAACUGCACCUGAUACUGGUGGGCUUGAGUCGGGUAGAGGGUAGUGGAAUUUCCUGUGUAGCGGUGAAAUGCGUAGAUAUAGGAAGGAACACCAGUGGCGAAGGCGACUACCUGGACCGAUACUGACACUGAGGUGCGAAAGCGUGGGGAGCAAACAGGAUUAGAUACCCGUGUAGUC